AAAUCAAGCGCGAAAAGGGCGUUUGGUGAAUGCCUUGGCAGUAAGAGGCGAUGAAAGACGUGAUACUCUGCGAUAAGCCAUGAGGAGCUGAGAAUAAGCUUUGAUCCAUGGAUUUCUGAAUGGGGCAACCCACCUGACAGUUUGUUAUUGUUUGCUUUUGCAAUCAAUAACGAGCUGAAACAGGUACUUAUAGACUGAAUACAUAGGUUUAUAAGAGCAAACCCGGAGAACUGAAACAUCUAAGUACCCGGAGGAAAGGACAUCAAUAUGAUACUCCCCUAGUAGCGGCGAGCGAACGGGGACCAGCCGAGCCAUGAUUGUGAAUAGAACGUGUUGGGAAGCACGGCCAUAGUGGGUGAUAGCCCCGUAUAUGAAGCAUGAUUGGACGUAUUAAGUAGGGCGGAACACGUGAAAUUCUGUCUGAAGAUCGGAGGACCACCUUCGAAGGCUAAGUACUCCUUACUGACCGAUAGUGAACCAGUACCGUGAGGGAAAGGUGAAAAGCACCCCGACGAGGGGAGUGAAACAGUACCUGAAACCGAACGCCUACAAUCAGUCGGAGCUUCCUUGUGAAGUGACGGCGUACCUUUUGUAUAAUGGGUCAUCGACUUGGUCUAUCUAGCAAGCUUAAGCCGUUAGGUGUAGGCGCAGCGAAAGCGAGUCUUAAUAGGGCGCAUGAGUUAGAUGGAUCAGACCCGAAACCGAGUGAUCUAGGCAUGACCAGGAUGAAGGUUAGGUAACACUAACUGGAGGUCCGAACCCACACCUGUUGAAAAAGGUCGGGAUGAGUUGUGCCUAGGGGUGAAAGGCCAAUCAAACUCGGAGAUAGCUGGUUCUCUGCGAAAUCUAUUUAGGUAGAGCGUCAUCCGAAUACCCUCGGGGGUAGAGCACUGGAUGGGUAAUGGGGCCCCACAGGCUUACUGAUCCUAACCAAACUCCGAAUACCGAGGAGUACUAGAUGGCAGACAGACUGCGAAUGCUAACGUCCGUAGUCGAGAGGGAAACAACCCUGACCUACAGCUAAGGCCCCCAAUUCAUGGCUAAGUGGGAAAGCAGGUGGGACGACCAAAACAACCAGGAGGUUGGCUUAGAAGCAGCCAUCCUUUAAAGAUAGCGUAACAGCUCACUGGUCUAAAUAAGUUGUCCUGCGGCGAAGAUGUAACGGGGCUCAAGCCAUGAGCCGAAGCUUAGGAUGCCGUAAGGCAUGGUAGCAGAGCGUAGUGUGACAUAGUUCCAUGUCUCUUUAGCGACUUCGGUCGUUACGGAGACACGGAGCUUUCGAUGAAGCCGGGGCGUGAGCCAUCCGGUGGAGAGAUCACUAGUGAGAAUGAUGACAUGAGUAGCGACAAAGAGUGUGAGAGACACUCUCGCCGAAAGUCCAAGGGUUCCUGCUUAAAGCUAAUCUGAGCAGGGUAAGCCGACCCCUAAGGCGAGGCCGAAAGGCGUAGUCGAUGGGAACCAGGUUAAUAUUCCUGGGCCAGGAAGAAGUGACGGAUCAGAGAGGUAGUUCAUCCUUAUCGGAUUGGAUGGGCUGCUGACUGGUCCCUGGAAAUAGCUCUUCCGCUAGAUCGUACCCUAAACCAACACAGGUGGACUGGUAGAGAAUACCAAGGCGCUUGAGAGAACUAUGUUGAAGGAACUCGGCAAAAUACCUCCGUAAGUUCGCGAGAAGGAGGCCCGGUUUCUAGGCAACUAGAGGCUGGGGGCACAAACCAGGGGGUGGCGACUGUUUACUAAAAACACAGGGCUCUGCGAAGUCGCAAGACGACGUAUAGGGUCUGACGCCUGCCCGGUGCCUGAAGGUUAAAAGGAGGGGUGAGAGCUCUGAAUUGAAGCCCAGGUAAACGGCGGCCGUAACUAUAACGGUCCUAAGGUAGCGAAAUUCCUUGUCGGGUAAGUUCCGACCUGCACGAAUGGCGUAACGACUUCCCCGCUGUCUCCAACAUAGACUCAGCGAAAUUGAAUUACCUGUCAAGAUGCAGGUUUCCCGCGGUUAGACGGAAAGACCCCGUGCACCUUUACUACAGCUUCGCACUGGCAUCAGGAUUGUGAUGUGCAGGAUAGGUGGUGGGCUUUGAAGCAGGAACGCUAGUUUCUGUGGAGCCUCCCUUGAGAUACCACCCUUCGCACUCUUGAUGUCUAACCGCGGUCCGUUAUCCGGAUCCGGGACCCUGCGUGGCGGGUAGUUUGACUGGGGCGGUCGCCUCCUAAAGCGUAACGGAGGCGCGCGAAGGUUGGCUCAGAGCGGUCGGAAAUCGCUCGUUGAGUGCAAUGGCAGAAGCCAGCCUGACUGCGAGACUGACAAGUCGAGCAGAGUCGAAAGACGGCCAUAGUGAUCCGGUGGUCCCAAGUGGGAGGGCCAUCGCUCAACGGAUAAAAGGUACGCCGGGGAUAACAGGCUGAUACUGCCCAAGAGUCCAUAUCGACGGCAGUGUUUGGCACCUCGAUGUCGGCUCAUCUCAUCCUGGGGCUGGAGCAGGUCCCAAGGGUACGGCUGUUCGCCGUUUAAAGAGGUACGUGAGCUGGGUUUAGAACGUCGUGAGACAGUUCGGUCCCUAUCUGCCGUGGGUGUAGGAUACUUGAGAGGAGUUGCCCCUAGUACGAGAGGACCGGGGUGAACGAACCACUGGUGGACCUGUUGUGGCGCCAGCCGCAGUGCAGGGUAGCUAUGUUCGGACAGGAUAACCGCUGAAGGCAUCUAAGCGGGAAGCCCCCCUCAAAACAAGGUAUCCCUGAGAGCCGUGGUAGACCACCACGUCGAUAGGCCAGAGAUGUAAGCACAGUAAUGUGUUCAGUUGACUGGUACUAAUUGCUCGAUAGGCUUGAUUUGA
rnacentral:rRNA from 1 species